GCCUCGGUGGCGGAAUUGGUAGACGCGCUGGAUUCAAAAUCCAGUGAUAGCAAUAUCGUGUGGGUUCGAUUCCCACCCGAGGUA
rnacentral:tRNA from 7 species